UGCUUCAGGACUUCAUUCCUUUUGACUGCUGAAUAAUAUUCCAUCACAUAACUUUGCCAUGUAUGAAGUCCUAUUCUAGGUGCUGGGGAGAGAAGAGCACAGAAAUGAAUGAGCAUCACACUCUCUUCCAGAAGCUCACAAUCUGAAGAAAAUUAGCCUAUGAUUUGCAUAUCAAGAGUGCCUGGGCUGCUUCUGUAGGACUGGGAGGCCUCCCAGAGACUGAGAAAACAACCAAAUGUGUGGAAUACUUCUUCCUGCUGAUCACUGUUCCAUGGUUUGCACAUCUCUCCAUUCAGCUCAUCUUUAUAACAAUUGCUGAUAAGGAACCCAAGGAAUGGACAAGUUCAUCAAUGUGCUCAGGUGACACAGAUCGUAAAAGCAGAGGCACGUUCCAAUCCCAGGCCAUCUGGCUCCACAGCACCUGCUCUUAACCACUACAUCAUCUUGUCUCUGAACAACAGGAGGAUCCAGCCUUGGGAAGACCAGGAGCAAAGCCCUGUCUAAGACAAAAGAGCCUGUACAAAGGCACUCAGGUGGGAGCCAGCCUGAUGGAUCUGAGGGCCUAAAAGUUCUGCUGGAAUGAUGUAAAUGAGGACAGAGUGAUACAAUAUAAGCUCCAGAGAAAGGCAGAGGCAAAAUCAAGGAGGAAUUUGCAACUCUGGAGUUUCAGUGAGAUGGGAAGUCACUAAAAGAUUUGGGUAAGGGAUAUGUAUGCUCAUGGACUAGAAGUCUCUGCUAUUGCAAAGAUGUCAGUUCUACCAAAAAUGAUCUAUAGAUUCAUUGCAAUCCCAAUCAAAAGCCAAGCAGGAGUUUUUGUGGAAAUUGACAAAGUAAUUCUAAAAUGUAUACAGAAAUGCAAAAGGUUAAGUAAGAAUAGCCAAAACAACCAUGAAGAAGAAUAGAGUUGAAGGAUUUACGGUACUAGAGGUUAAGACUUAUAAUAGCUACAGCAACUAAGACACUGUGUGACUGUUGCAAGGAUAGAGAAAUAGGAUAAUGGAACCAAACAGAGAACUGAGAAAAAUAUGUGUGCAUACCGUAAGGUUGUUCAAUGACAAAAAUGGCAGUGCUGAGUAAUAGAGAAAGGGCAAGCAUUCCAAUAAAUGCCAUUGGAUCAAA